UCCCGUGUGGCUCAGUUGGUAGAGCAUGGUGUUUGCAACACUUGGGUUGUGGGUUCGAUUCCCCCAGGGGAC
rnacentral:tRNA from 1 species